rnacentral:rRNA from 1 species
UUGCCCCAGUAACGGCGAGUGAAGCGGCAACAGCCCAGAUUUGAAAUCUGGCCCUUGCUCGAGGGUCCGAGUUGUCAUCUGCAGAGGAUGCUUCGGGCAACGCCGCGCUCCAACCCGCUUGGGACAGCGGGCCGCAGAGGGUGAGAGCCCCGUCCAGGAUCGCGUGCCGCCCCCGUGUGAAGCUCCUUCGACGAGUCGAGUUGUUUG